rnacentral:lncRNA from 1 species
GGCGGGAUUGGUUCCUGCAUGAUCAUUUGAGAGAAAGGAGGGUCAGUGCAGAUGUCCUCACCGUAAGCAGUGGGAGCACAGUGGAGCUCUUCGAUCCGCUGGUUCAUCUCCUGAAAUCUCUGAUCCAGGAGGUCCUCUCGAUCGUGGGCCUCGAGGGUCUUCUAGUGGAGCAGAGGCAGGGACUCUCUGGGGGUUGAAUCAUGAUCGGACGGAGGACUCUCCGCCUU